rnacentral:lncRNA from 1 species
GGAAGGGAGGAAGCGUAGAAGGUGCCGAUGCACUUUUCCUCUCUCCAGCCCUCCUGACUGCUCCAAGAAUUUCAUCGAACAAGACUCAAAGAGGCCCAGCUGCUCUGCGUUUUGAUUCUUCUCCCUCUCUCAGUCCACACUGACCUGGGAGGGGCUUCUCAAACACCACAUUUCCUAGCGUGCUGUGAGAAGAGGACUGUGAGCUAAGAAGGGAGAAAAGAUGGAGUCUCUCACUCCAUCCCCCAGGCACUGGACUGCAGUAGUACGAUCUUGACUCACUGCAACCUCUGCCUCCCAGGUUCAAGCGAUUCUCCUGCCUCAGCCUCCCGAGUAGCUGGGACUACAGGCACUCCCUCCUCAUCAACAAACACCUGACCUGGGUAGACCCUCUGCUUACCAAGAUCCAGUCCACCUUUUGACAUCAGCAUUCAUGCUGCCUCUUUUUACGAACCAAGCCAAAGUGGUCCCUUCCUCUGGAAAUUAUAGGAUACUUAAUGUACAUCAUAUCCAGCUUCCCGACUCCAGACUGUGGGAGAUGACACAGAGCCAGCCUGCCUGGAUGUGACUCAGCUCUGCAACUUAUUAAAGACCUUUGGCAAAU